GAUCCAUAGGAAUCCGCCCUACUUGAUCUGUUCAUAUUCACCAAUUUUGAAUCAGACCGAAACCGGGUCAUGACAUCCUUAUUCUUUUGUUCGUGUGGUGAGUCAGUAAACGGGGCAUUUUUGUAGUAAAUCGGACAUUCAAUCCAAGCCCAUGGGAGCCCGAUACGCAGCCGAAAUUGCGAAAUGUCAGUCUUGUAAUUUCAACUGGCCCGGACGAUAAAUUGCAUCUCUGCUAAUGGAAAUAGAAUCCUUAGGCUCUGGGGUUUUAGGGUUUUUCUGUGUUCGGACUGAUACUUUCUCUAUCUAUUCUUAUUUCCUACGCAAGAACAAACCAUGACUGCUGAGAUCCAGGAAGAGCUCGCUGCUCAGCUCGAAGCUCAAAAGAUUCUCGAGGUAAGCACUUCAUUCCCCACCUUCCCCACCGCCCCCCUCCCCCCCGGCCGGCCUCUUUCUCUCUCUCUCUUUGUAUGUGUAUGUGUUUGUGUACAUCUUUUGAUUAAUUUCUAGUGGGAUCUCAAGUUAUUUUUAUUCAUUUUUUAUACCAGGAUAGUGAUUGAUCUCUGGAUCAUUUCUUGUUCCUCUGUUUUUGUUAGAUCUAAUAUGAUAUUGUUACUUGUUCCUUAUUUUGGUUGCCCCGAUGUUAGUCUGGGAUUAGUGUUAAAGUGUAUUUUAAAAUUUCAAAAUUUUAAUUUCUUCAUUCUCCAAAUGGAACAAUUCCAUGUUUUUAUUCUAUUGUUGACGUGUUUUGCUUCAAACAUUAAGUUGAUAUUGGAAGUUUCGGUUUUGAGUUUACAGAUGAUAAAUGAAUGAGUUGUCUUCUUACAUGGCUUUUAUUUGUUAAAUUGUAUGUGAAUAGGGCCGCUAUAUGUCACAAAAUUCCUCUGGAAUUGUCAUAGUUAUGAUAGAAAACUUAAAUGGUGAUAAUAUGUGAAAGUUCUCUGCUUGUACACUUAAAGUGAUUUACUUCUUGUGAUGUCUUUUGAUCUUUCAAAUUCUAAUUGUGGGCAUUUAGCUUCAUGUAGUUGCACACUGUGUUCUUAGUCUUAAAUAUUUUCUUCCUUUGAUUGGUUGAAGUCACCAAGUUGAAAAACUAUUUUCUAUUUUCAAUUAUCUUGUGAAGUCUGUAUAUGGAAUCUGCUUUAGCUGAUAAUCACCCUUCUUGUCGUUUACUUAGAGAACUGUGGUGAUUGUAGUAGUAUUGCUCAAAUCUGUUUUGUAUCAGUUAUUUCGGUACUGUGCAUAACAGGGGCAACAAUGCUGAUAGCUGUCAAAUUCUCAUGAUAUAGAACACUAUUAUACUGCUUCAUUCUACCAUACUGUUCUUUCAUCUAUGGGCUACUAAUAGCAAUCUUUACAUUGUUAUUUCAUCAAGUCUGAUAAGCCUGUGGUUGAGGAUGUGGUCGAGGAUGAAGAUGAUGAUGAGGAUGAC
rnacentral:misc_RNA from 1 species